AUAAAAAUGAUUGGAAUUAAGAGGAUUUGACAGAAAGUUAGUCAAAUUCACGAACACUGAAUUCAUCACUACUAGAUUCAUAGAGACUUAUGUAGUUUUGAUUAGCAUAUGUUUGGUUUGGAUCUGUAGAUGUGGGAUGAUCACUUUGUAGGGAACUAGUAUAAUUGGAUGGUUGGAUGAUCUGCAUAUUUUGGUCACAUGAUUUUGAUAUUUCACCAUAGUUGUUGGUAGAUUCAUCAAGAUGAUUAUCAUUUUCAGUUUCUGAGGAAAUGUCGAGGUUAAUUAGUUGUGGAUGGGUAUGAGAAGGUUCAUUGAUGGUUGGGAUUUCUUGUAUUGGAGAAGUUUCUUGGAUGGGUGGAGUUUCUUGUAUUGGAGAAGCUUCUUGGAUGGGUGGAAUUUCUUGUAUUGGAGAAGUUUCUUGGAUGGUUAGAAUUUCAUGUGAUAAAGGAAUUUCUUGAGUGUGUGUGGUACCUUCAAUGUGUAGAAUUUCUGGAGUUGGUGAAGUUCCAUCUUUGUGUGUGACUUUCAUAGAAUUCGGAUUAUUUUGUAUUGGCUGAAUUUCAUGAAUGGGGUGGAGAAUUUGGUUUUCUUGGACAUCCUGUUGGCGUGGGGUUUCCGCUUUUUGAGACUCUUGUUGAGAUAAUUCAUGUUUGGUGGGGUUCUCAGGAGAGUAUUCCUCGAGAUGCUUAUAAAAGGUAUCAUUUUGAAGGUCUUCAUCAAUGCUACUGACCUUGCUUGGCUUACUUGUAUUCGAGUUUAGAAUGUGUUUUACAACAGGGCUAACUAGAAUGUCUUGCAUCUGCUUUACCAAUGAAGAUGAUUCUUGUAUGUAUUUUUCGUCUGUUUCAGAAAGAAGGGAAGAUUGUUCAAUAAGCUUAGAACAUAUAACAACCCAUCUCUGUAUAAUUUCAGAUGAAAGAUAUAUAUGAUUUCCAGUGAUUGCUUGUUGAUAUUUCUUAUUCAAGUUAGAAAGACAAUCAAACUCGAAGUAGGAGUUCCAUUUUGGAUUAUGACAGUUUUUUGGGAAAUUAGAAUCUAAUUUGGCAACUUUCUCUCUUAAGUUUGUGGCAAAAGAGUGGCAACAAGAGCUUUCAUGAUUAGCUUUGGUAGUAUGAAACUUUAGUUCAAUGAUGAUAGGUCUAGUUGAAUCUUUAGGAGUUUGGAUUAACUCUUCAUUUUGAUAAAACAAUAUAGGAGAUUUCUCAAAAAGGAAGUCAUAACCUAAGAUUAUAACUAGGCAUUCUGAAUAUUCGAGUUUACUUAGUUUAUUUGAAAUAUAUUCUGGGAGAGUACCUUGGUUUCCAAAAAUAAGCUUGCCAUGACAGUCGAUAAUGUGACUUAUUGCAGGCAUAUAUAGCCAAUAUGCUACAUUACCUUGCAAAGUGGAGUCUGAUAUGAUUUCAUCAGAAGAUGAAGAGGUUUUGGAGGGAUUGCUUGCUUGAAAUAUCCCAUUUUGCUUGGUUUUUUGACAAACUUCUAAAACAAGCAUAGUGGAAUCGAAUAACAUCACAUUUGUAUUGUUGAAUACAAAAUCAAUAUUAAUACAUGGCUUUUCAAUUCUCCAAUUCAUAGUUUCUCGUCUAAGCCCUCUAGUAUUUAAGGGGAUUGGAAUGAAUGAUGAAACCAGAUUUCUUCCUCUUUGGGAUAUCACAUUUUGUUCUUUAAUAGAGUUAUUUUCAAAAAUGUGUUUAAAAACGUCAUCUUCAAAGAUAAUUUUGGUACCCAGAAUUGGGUAUACCAAAGAGUUAUAGCAUUGGUAGUUAAAUGAUAUGGGGUUUCUAUAGCUUCCUAUAAACAUAUCAGAAGGGCCUACAACUGCAAUAUGAGUACUAUAACUUUUUAAAAACUUUAUAAUUGAAUCAACAGUAGUCAAUAAAUUGAUACUUGGUGACCAUUCAUGAAGGAUUUCUGCUGUAAAACUGCGACCAUCACUUAGACUUGGGAAACAAAAUGUACUUGGAAAAGUAAUAUCUGGAGGGCUAAAUGGAAAGUCUUUAUAUAGUAUUAUUUGUACAGGGAUUUCAUUAUUAAGAAAAGUAUCUACAU
rnacentral:antisense_RNA from 1 species